GGAUGCAGACAGCAUUCUCUGCAGCUGGGGCAGAAAGUACUUCCCUGAAGGGAGAUCUGGACAGCACAUUGCCGUGACUGCCAAAGCCAAGGACAUAUUGAGCCAACUACACAGUCUAGAGCUUGGAAGGGCAUGCUGCUGGGAAAUACUAGCCUGUGGCACAAAGUUUCAUCCUGUGGUCUGGGGACAACCUGCACUGCAUCAUGUGAAUGCAGCCCCUCCCCUGACCUGACAAAUCGGCACUCAGGAUGAUGAGCAGUCUCCUUCAGAUGAUCCUCAUGCCUGCUUAAAUUGAGAAUCUCUGGAUAAAGAUGAUAUCAAAACCACAGGGGAGUAGAUGAGGGACUCCAGGGAGAUUACAUAGGACAAAAUGAGAACCCUGGAACCCCACCACCAUUUGCCAAGAAACAGCACGAAGAUACUUUCCUGUGAUGUUAAUCUGUGCGGUGUAUUGGCGCCUCUUUUGGUCUUUAAAAAAAUGUCGAAGUUAAUGUUGACAUAAAGCUGAGUCCUCUGGCAGGGAAGUUGGCCGCGUGAGUCAGGAGCGAGUCGAGAGACAUUUUACCACUUAGCAGGCAGAGGAGUCGCUGCUAAUGGCCCCCCCGGACUCGCACGUCCACACCAAGCGUGGGAUUUAUACUCUGCGCAGCUCAGCAACAUACUAGCUCCAUUCACAGCUGAGGAAAUUGAGACUCAGGAGUUGACGGAGCUUGCCCCGGCCGGAUGUUUCCCAAAGCACCGGCCCCUACAGGCCGCUGUCUCUGGAAGAGGAAGAAGCCAGAUGGAGCCGUGACGCCGGGGAAGGGGAGGUCCCUGUGAGGAGGGCAGCUGAGGGGCUCCCAGCUUCUACCCCACCUGCCACCCGCUGAGCACACCUCCGCCUACGUCAGCAGGCGCCAGUCGCUCACACCCGGCGACUUGGAGUCAGGGACAGUGUGGCCGGGCUCUGAGGGCAGACGGCGGGGUGGCUCAAGUGAGCCUGGGCCUGGGAAAAUGCUGACUGGGCUGGGCCCAGAAAGGAACGUGGGCAGGUUAGCACAGCUGCAGCAGCUUGGCAGAAGUAUGUUGUGCAGGGGAAUCUGAAGGAACAGAAUCCCAGCCUGAGCCAUGAAUCCCCGGGAGUGAAAUUCCUACACACCAGCAGGGUCCUCUGGACUGAAUUUACUCUGGUUCCUAAAGUGUGGCAAAAGUAAACAAGAUUUUGUUUGGAUUCUACUCUUCAAUUUCUCUGGACUAAAACACACAAAACUGCCAGAAAGUUAUCCCAAUGAAAAUAAUUAUGAGACUAGUAUGAGACUAGUUUCAGAAAAUGUUAUAGAACAAAGCAAAACAAAACAAAAAACAUCUAGAGGUUUUUAUAAUCAAAGAGUUGGGUGGGAGAACAACUGACUUAUUUCCAAUUGCUUUGUAUUUCCACAGAAUGGUAAACAAUAUAAAAAUUCAUAUUAAGCAUGCCUGGGUGGCUCAGUGGUUGAGCGUCCGCCUUUGGUUCAGGGCGUGAUCCUAGCAUCCCGGGAUCGAGUCCCACAUUGG